GGGACUAUACAGAAGUUACAUUUUUGUUCCUCAUCAUAGAGAAAGCUGACAUCUUUUUGGGCAGUGAAAUGAUCUCAGAUGGUAUAAUUGAGAAGACAUCUAGAUACCUAAAAAACAUAGGCAUCUGCAAUUCAACCAACAAGGAUGAAUGUGAUUUAUCUGCUUUCUGUUCUGUUCUAUUUGGACCAAUGUGAACUAACUUGACCAGAGGAAAAAUCGAAAUAAUCCACGUUUUAUACAAGGUCCUCAAGAAAUAAGCUUUCCACAGAAUGUGUGGAUAAUCCUUAUGGAUUUGGUGGCGUCAUCGUCACAGAAAAAGGAACAUACCCCAUUUUUUCCCAUCAGGGGAGAGCCUCCCGUGAUGGACAAGGCCCUCACAGUUCAGUGGAAAAGUUCCAAUGUGCUCACCAUGGAGCAGAUCCAGAGACCAUCGGGGAUUCAAACAGCAGCAAUGUGGCACCACCUGAUAUAUCCACUGAUGAAGAAGUUCCCAUGGAGGUAGACCAGCAGGAGUAAGAAAAACUUCAGUCUGGCGAGAGUCUUGAGGAGGGUUCACUGGAGGCAUCUACAACCAUCAGGCAUCCAGUCCACCCAUUCAAAAAACUCUCUGUUAAUGCUUCCCAAUGCUUAAUGCAUUGGGAAGACCAGUUCAAGCACCUAACCAUGUACAUACACAUGCUUGAGGUGCCCUAAUAAAAACAACAAAAACAAAACGACUUUUGAAAACUUAUUACAUUACUCCUCCUUCAAGGAGCAGUUUCAUCACAUCAACGAGAGAAAACACCUCUUCAACUUGAAUCAGAGGGCUAGAUUUGGUUUUU